rnacentral:rRNA from 1 species
GACGAACGCUGGCGGCGUGCCUAAUACAUGCAAGUCGAGCGGACGAAUCGAAAGCUUGCUUUUGAUUCGUUAGCGGCGGACGGGUGAGUAACGCGUGGGCAACCUGCCCUGUAGACGGGGAUAACACCGAGAAAUCGGUGCUAAUACCGGAUAACACGAAAUGUCGCAUGACGUUUCGUUGAAAGACGGCGCAAGCUGCCGCUACAGGAUGGGCCCGCGGCGCAUUAGCUAGUUGGUGAGGUAACGGCUCACCAAGGCGACGAUACGUAGCCGACCUGAGAGGGUGAUCGGCCACACUGGGACUGAGACACGGCCCAGACUCCUACGGGAGGCAGCAGUAGGGAAUCUUCCGCAAUGGACGAAAGUCUGACGGAGCAACGCCGCGUGAGCGAAGAAGGCCUUCGGGUCGUAAAGCUCUGUUGUUAGGGAAGAACAAGUAACGCAGUAACUGGCGUUACCGUGACGGUACCUAACGAGAAAGCCACGGCUAACUACGUG